rnacentral:lncRNA from 1 species
GUGUGAGGUGUAGGGUCUAGGGUUUCAACUCUAGAUUUUGUGAGAUGAAAAAUACAAGAGUGAGUCUUGUUCAAUCUUUCACACCACCACCUCUUUGUAAAGUUUCAUCUUUUGAUCCAAAAGAGUCUGGAAGAUCCGAAGAAAGAAGCUUGGAUCAGUCAUCUAGAGCUUUCGACGUGAGCUGGCACUCCCAUGAAUGAAGAUCUGA